rnacentral:rRNA from 1 species
AUUGAACGCUGGCGGCAUGCUUUACACAUGCAAGUCGAACGGCAGCGCGGGCUUCGGCCUGGCGGCGAGUGGCGAACGGGUGAGUAAUACAUCGGAACGUGCCCAGUAGUGGGGGAUAGCUCGGCGAAAGCCGGAUUAAUACCGCAUACGACCUGAGGGUGAAAGCGGGGGAUCUUCGGACCUCGCGCUAUUGGAGCGGCCGAUGGCAGAUUAGCUAGUUGGUGGGGUAAAGGCCUACCAAGGCGACGAUCUGUAGCUGGUCUGAGAGGACGACCAGCCACACUGGGACUGAGACAAGGCCCAGAAUCCUACGGGAGGCAGCAGUGGGGAAUUUUGGACAAUGGGCGAAAGCCUGAUCCAGCAAUGCCGCGUGUGUGAUGAAGGCCUUCGGGUUGUAAAGCCCUUUUGGCGGGAACGAAAAGGACUGUGCCAAUACCACGGUUCGAUGACGGUACCCGCAGAAUAAGCACCGGCUAACUACGUG